CCCUGUAACCAUAGAUAUAUAACUCUUUCAAAUUAGUGUGAGGUCGUAACUUGUCAAGUAUAUCUCUUGUCAUUUGGGAGUCAACUGUAUUCUCCUCUUUAUUCAAUGACCAACUCAGCGUCAUAGAAUCAAUGCCAUCCUUAUCAAACAUUCUUGCCAUCGAAGCUUCAUUGCUGUUGACCACAUUCUCCAACUUGUCAAUGGAAAUAGAUUGCUGUAGAUCUACGAGUGCUCCCAAUUCUUUAAUCUUGUUUUCUUCAUGCUUUCCAACAACAUAAUCACUUAAAAAUUGCAAAUUUUUUAAUUGGCUCAUGCCUUUCGGCAUCUCACGUAACUGAGUCCCUCUAAUAUCAAGAUGGCGCAAAUUUACAAGGUCUUUCAUGCCAACAGGUAGCAUUUUCAGAUAACUACAGGAAUACAACUUCAAGGUCUGCAAGUUGUACAGGUUACCCAACGACUCUGGCAAUGUCACAAUGUUGGUGAAAGAGAGAUCCAAGUAACGCAAAUGAAUCAAUUCACCUAUUGAAUCAGGCACUGACUUAAGAGGAAAGCUUUUUAACGACCAAGCUCUCAGGUACUUCAACUGUGACAACAUGAUACAAGGUGCAUUUUCCAUAUUGAAUGGAAUCCACUCGUCCAAAUUGAUUUCAAGAAAUGUCCUUGUAUGUUUUACUCUAUCACAAUCUCCCAAAAGAUUUGACAUUGGAUAAUUGCCUUUGGGAUUAUGUGACAAAUGACGAGCUUUAAUAUCAACCUCAACUGCAUUCAGAAGCUCUUCAGCUCUGAAAUAGAAUUCUCCAGCACAUGUCAUUGCUAAAUCAUGAACAAGAUCAUGCAUCACGAAUUUAUUUUCCUUGGUACUAUGAGGUUGCAAAAAUGAUCUCGCAAUUAAUUCAUCAAAAUAUUCACCACCAACUUCUUCUAUAGUCUUUUUUUCUACUGGUUGCAAAAAAUUCUCUGCCAUCCAUAACAGCAUCAAUUCAUCCUUAGUAAAUUCAUAGUCCUUGGGAUACAAGGAACAAUAAACAAAGCACUGCUUCAAAUAUGAAGGAAGAAAAUAAUAACUUAUCAUUAACGCUGGAACAACAUUUAUUCUGUCAUUGGAGAGUUUCCAGAUUUCACUCUUCAGUAAAUGAUUCCAAUAUCUGAUAUCAGAAUUUCCACGCAAUAUGCCUCCAAGGGCUUGAGCUGCCAAGGGCAAUCCAUCACACUUCUUUACGAUAUCUCUGCCGAUUUUUUCCAGGGUUGGAUUCUCCACAGAAACAGUUGACAGACGUGCAUGCUUUGUAAACACCAACCGACAAUCUUCAUCGGACAAUGAUCUUAGUUCAUGAGGUGAAACAGUCUGCACUAAAGAAGCCACAUUUUUAUUUCUAGUAGUUAUGAGAAUUUUACUUCCCUUAACCCCUUUUUGAAAAGGUUUUAGAAGCUUAUCCCAAUCACUAUAAUUUUCAUUCCAUACGUCGUCCAAGACAAUGAAGAACUUUUGCCUCGACAACUUUUCCUUUAAAUCAAGCUGAAGUAAAUUCAAAUCUGUCAAGUUACAAGAACUUGAAGUUAUUGCCUCGAUUACAGUCUUGGUGACCUUGACAACAUCAAACUCUUCUGACACACAAACCCAACCUCGGAAAUCAAAAUUCUCCUUCACUUUGUUAUCGUGGUAAAGCAAUUGGGCCAAAGUAGUCUUUCCUAUUCCGCCCAUGCCCACAAUGGGAAUGACAGAUAAAUCACCAUCAGCAGCAGCAUCAUCAUCUAACAACAGUUUCAGUAGGGCCUCCUUGUCUUCUUUCCUGCCACAUAUCUCCGAUGGUUCAACAAGACAUGUUGAUGGAAUUCUCCAUGACAUGUCCACCUUGGCACUCUCCUUCAGACGAAGAUAAUUUUUGCGUCUUACAACAGACUCUAGUGUGCCAACUAUUUUUUCCAUGUCAUCAGUAUCUUCAAUAUGUGAAUCAACAGCACGAGACCAGUAAGAAGAGUUACCUGGAUCUUUUUGAGUGGCAGCAAUAGCGGCUUUAGUGGAGAGUUCGUCGAGCAAGUCAUCAGCCAUAUAGAGAGCAUCUUGAAGAUCAACAAGCCACUUCUUCACUUUCUUGUCAGUGAACUGCUUCAGCUCAGCAUCAUCAAGAACAGGUCCAACAUCAUACAGACAAUUCUGCAACCUAACAAGCAAGUUGCUCCUUUCGAGGAAAGAGUCGUCUUCUUCAAGUAUUGAAGUCAGGUUGUCCAAAACAGCAUCAACAAAGGGAGAGAGGUAAGCUCCACCAUAAAGUUUUUCGGCCAUGGUUGAAUCUCAAGUGAAGCAGAUCAGAUGGGAUCAGAACAAAGAAAGAAAGUCAAUGGAUGAGGGAAGUGUUUGCUUUGUGUGGUAGGUGAAGUUGAUUUGACGAGGUUUAUGGUCUUCGGACAAAAUGAUGGGAUGGUGUUAUGGAAGAUAAACAAUUGGUUAAUGUAUUGGUGAGUGUUAUAAGAAAGUCUUAUUUUUUUAUUGGACAAACAUUGUUGUUAUAUUAAUUUAGUAAUUUAAGAACAAGCUGUAACGCAUUACCAAUUUGUAAACUAAAGUAAAAACUAUCUGUGGUUGCACUUUAUCAAACUCACUGGUCACUAGAUGAUAGAGUUAGAGUCAGUUAAAACUUAACUCACUCAAUUUUAUUUAGCUUUUUUAAUUUUUAUUAUCUCUAAGUGAUUUAUAUGAUAGAAUUUCACUUCAUGUAUUCUUUCUCUUUUUGUCAACAGAUUUAAAAGACUAUAUCAAAUAUCAAUUACUCUACUGUAUUAUUAGAAAGGGACAGAGCAAUAAUGGCAAUAAUGUAUGCAUGUAGAUAGUAUUUUUGGUAAUUAAAAUGAUUGCUAACUAAUAUUAUCUUAUUGUCUUAAACCUUAUUUGUUACUUUUUUGUGCCUUUUUCUUUUACGUAAAUUAUGGCAAGACAAAGCGUUUUAUUAUUUACAUGUAAAUCAUUUUAUUCCAGGAAGAUUUACAUAAAAGAAAAGAAAGACAAAUAUAUAACCCGUUUUCCUUUAGCUGACAGAAGUAUCUCAGACUAGAACUGAGCUUGGUGGAAUCGAAGAAAUGAUGGAGAAGAGUGGGGACGUGAGUAGAAGAAGCAGAGAGAAAGAGAGGGAAGCAGAGGGAGUACGAAGACAGAGUCUUUUUGUCAUGACCCAAAAUGAGCCAUGACUGGCUGGCGUUCAGGUGAAUAAUCCUAUAUCAAGCUUAACAUACUCAAAUAUAAAUUGAAAAAAAAUGUUACAAAUAUUUUACAAGUUCUAAAAUAAAUAAUUAUACAUUUUUAACAAAAAAUUAAAAUAAUUAAAAAUAGUUGAAUCCUGUCUGUGACAUAGGAAGCAUAUAACAUCUAGGAAUUUGACAAAGAACAGGAAUUCAGUGCAGAUCGUUACUCUUGAAUAGAAAGUCUCACAUAGUCAAGUAUUUGUUCCUGAAUAAUAUUUUUAGAAAAACGGGGUGAGUUUUGCAACUCAGUAACUAGACAAUACAUCUAUAAUCGACAUGAGACCAUAUAAAUAUUAUUAUCAAAGUAAUUUUAAUUAGAAAAUAGUAGUUGAUAAUCAUAAGUGAAUCAAUAAGGGAGUUCUCAUACAGAAAUCAAAUCAAAAGUCCACACUUGGGCAGCUCCACCUCUAUGGCUAGCCCUUUUCUCUAGUGUGUUCGUACAGAAUAACAGAUCAAACAUGUGGCCUACACGUUAGGCUAGCAACGCCCCCUACUAGUUAAGGUCUGAGCCAGAUGCAUCUAGGUUAACGUCAUAACGACCGUUAACUACAAUUUUCUAAUACGAGCCUCCCAAACCAAUUCAAAGCAUAUAGUUUCAAAUACAAUAAAUCUUUGAUCUUUCAAAUAUAUAGAAUAUCGAAUCAAAUCAAAUUAGAUAAUACUUUCUCGUCAGAAAUAUUUUCCAAUCAUAAGAACAUAUAUAUAGUCUCAUGUAAAAUUUUUAAAGUAUGAGAUUCAAAAUACAAUAAAUCUUUGAUCUUUCAAAUAUAUAGAAUAUCGAAUCAAAUCAAAUUAGAUAAUACUUUCUCGUCAGAAAUAUUUUCCAAUCAUAAGAACAUAUAUAUAGUCUCAUGUAAAAUUUUUAAAGUAUGAGAUUCAUAAAGAUAAUUAUUCAACUAUAAUAUAUCAAUCAUUCUAAUCAAAUCAAAGUUCUUUAACAAUAGUUUUUCUAAAUAUAAUUAAAAACUCAGAAUAGUAUAAACCAAAAACUUAAAGGUUAUAAAUGUAAAGUCUACUCACAAAAUGCUCCUAAGGGACCAAAGAGAUCAAACUCGGAGUGCCGGAUUAAAGGGUGAAGAUGGUUAAAGUAGAAUGGAACGAAACAACACAAAAUUUGGGACCGGGGCAAUAGCAACAACAAUUCUCACUACAGCAACAUCAACAACAGCCCUAGUAGCAACAUGGGGAAACCACAGUAACAAUAGCAGCAAAUCCAAUAGCUUACGAUGGUUUAAAAUUGAGCAAAGAGGGAAAGGACAGAGUCAAUAGUAGCUUUACGGCAAGACAAGGCAAAACAAGCUUAGUCUUGCCAAAGGAAACAAGGGGAUGGAGCAUUAGCAGCUCCGAUGACCCUCUCGCAGUGAAGCAGAGUAGAGGCGGAGGUAGCUUCGGGUUGCACCAGCGGUGAGCUUUGGCGACGGCAAUGUCUCCCUCAGACGCGGCCCCUUCGACGGCGACGACCGUAACUCCAGCAACGAGUCCCAGUAGCGACGAUAGUGGUGCUGCCUUCUCUCUAUCCAUCUCUCUCCUUGUUCGUCUCUCUCUCUCUGCCUCUAUAACUCGACGGCGGUGACGGUUUCCCAUUGCUUUGCCAGUGCCGUCAUCUUCUUCUCUUCUCCCCUCAGUGUCUUUCUCACUCCCUCUUCUCUAUUUCUUUCUUUUUCUUUUGUUCAGACUUCAGAGUGUGUGUUUGUGUGAGAGUGAGUAAGUGUGUGGGUUUAAUUUAGGAAUUAGGGUUAGAAUUUGGGAAAAAGAAUACGCGUAGUGUAGGAAUUUUGAUAAAAUUAGAGGGUAGGGUAGUAAUAAAAGGAAUUAAAUAUAAAAUGUUUUAAAAAAAGCUUGGGAUGUUACAUUCUGCCCUCUUUGAAAAAAUUUUCGCCUUCUAAAAUUGAUAUAAUAUAAAAAAUGUUACAUGGUUUUAGCUUUUAACCAAACAUGAGAAAGAAGUAUAAUCGGGUGUAAAAGUUACAAGAUAGGUGUGUGUUAAAACGAUACGGUUGACAUUCACCGACUCUCGUUCCUCUGACAACUCAGAUAUACAUAGCACUCUUCACUUCGUUCGUCAAUCUCUUCAAAAUACAAUCUGACUUCAUAAUCUCCUUGGUUCUGUAGUAUAUAUCCAUGGAAGCAACCAGUCUUAUGUGAAGUCUUAGAAUUACAACUUUCUGAACUUCAGCACCGAUAAGCUGUGUCCUAAUGAACUAACGUAUCGCUUGCUAUCCGGGAAUUGCACGACAUCGAAACAAGCACGAAUUUAGUCAAAAGGAUUCAAAACUUAAGAAGAGAAGAGCAAAUAUCACAUAUGGUGCUCACAUGAACGUGAAAGGAUGCUUAAGAUUGCAAUUAAGCAAUGGUGUACAGAAAUAAUGAAGUGUGUCAGAAAGAGAACCAAUUAUAUCUUAACAAAAAAAUUUGAAUCAACAAACUUUGAUAGAAAUAAUAAAAAAAGGUGUACUAGGCCAAAACAAGUUCAGGUUGAAUCAAAGAAGUACAAAGUUCACAAAGAAUGUAACCAAAGUCAAUGGCAAUUUUUACAUAGAUUUAAGAAAAUGAUUAGGGACACGAUCAGGCAAGAGAAGAAUCAAAUCAAAGACUUUUUCAAAGAAGAUCUAGAACAAGAAUUCGAGGAGAAUACUAGAAGAUAUGAUGUAUCACAGUAAAGCAAGUUCAGAUUACAUCAAGAAGUUAUAUAGUUCACGUAAAGGAAUGAAACGUCAACACCUGUGUUGUUGAGAAUUUAUGGGAUAGCCAAAAGCAUGAUCAAAUCGAGAUAUGCAUAAGAUGUAGGACAUGAAACAAAAUAAUCAAAUUUCAUUCAACAAGAAUUGAAACAAGAAACUCCUGACAUGAAAUAUAGAGGAAUGAACGAUACGUCAAAUCACGCAGCACGAUUAUAACGCAUAUUUCAACACAAACUAUCCCAAGAAGAACACCUAACAUUCCCAAACUUAACGAUUACCAUUACUAAAAGAAACGAAGGAGUUUAGAACUACUAUUUCUCGCCGGUUAUAAUUUCUAGCCCUCUGUACGCAUCAUGCUCAACAAUCAUACCACAAGAUGUGACAACACUAGAUAGAAUAUAGAAUUUUCUUUUUACAACAAAACUAGAAAGCGAACAAAACAAAACAAAGCCCAGCAGAACAAUAUCACCAUAGAAUAAGAGCCUUUAGAGCAUAAGUAAAUGUUGAAAUCACCGAAAAAAUUUCACCAUUUCCCUUAUUCCAUAACCAUUCCUCACAUCAUCAUCAAGACUCUAAAAAGGCCAAAAAUUAUGAGAAUAUUGCAAAUAACUGAGAUAGCAUAUUAGAAAAAAGACAUAGAUGUUGCAUCUAAAAUUAGAAGCUAGGAUAUAUAAAAAUAUAGUAUUACCUAGAGAUUUCUACUUCUAAACAUCAACAACAAUAACAAAACGAAAUAUUCAAACACAAUCAAUCAAAGCAUAGUAAUAAAGGAAAAAUUUAAAACGAGCAAAUGCAACAUAUGAAAAAAAAUCCGAAAUAAAUGAACCAACUAAAAAUAGGAAACUCAUGAAAAGAAAAGAAAAUAUUGAUAAAUUUUACAUUUCCAAGAUCAAACUAUGAUCAAUUCACACCCAUCAUUCUUAGAUUAACAAGUUAUGAUGAAACAACUCAAGAUUAAAUCCAGUGACUCAAAAUGAACCCAUCGGUUUAUUUAGAGUUUAGACAUUUCUCCUUGCUCCUCAAUUUAAGUCUCUGCAAAAUUGGCUAUCACCUUUUUUUUCAAGUGCAUUAACAAAGAACAGUUCAUAUUUAUAUAUAAUCAAAAAGGUAGGAACGUGUAUGAAUUUAGGGACAAUGUUUUUGUUUUCCUGCCCUUACAACCAAAGAGAACUUGAAACACACUAUUUUGAAAUUGACCGCAUUUCUAUCAAUCUAUUUUUCUUUGUUUGUGUAUUCAACCUUUUUUCUUGAACACAUCUCAAAUAUAUAAUUCCAUGAACAUGAAACCAGCAAGGAGAAAACAAAACAAUAUUCAAUCAGGACCAUACAUAGUAGAAACGUACAAUUAGAGACAAUCACCUAAAAUUCAAAUAACCCCUUAUUCAAUCUAGCCACACAAAUAGAUUCCUAAAAACCAGUAGUUGCUGAAUAUACUCCCUAAUUUGUUGUCAUCAUUUCAAAAGCCUUAACCUCUUCAUUCAAGUAUCAUAUAUCUCUUAAAAAUCUCUUGAAAUAACUAAUUUCUUUCACAAGCAUCACACUUCGCAGAAAUCAUCAGAAUUAGGCAACAAUAGAAAAAUCAUAGAACUCACAACAAUUUCAUGACAAAAAAGUCAUGUCCAGCAUCACAAUACCAUAAUAGAACCAGAUCAUCAAACUAGAAAAAUUCAAAUACACUUCUAGAUUAGAAAGACCUUCGAUCCAUCUAAUUAAUCACCCAAAUAAUUCAUUAUAGCUAAGCAAAUAAAAUCAUCAAUUUGACAAACAACAAUAACACUUCAUUCAUAUGUUCAUCGCAUAAUUCUUUUCCUUGAGCAAUUGAAUAACAGUUUUCAAGGUUAUUGAUUCAAAAGAAAGAAUCACGAGUGGUUCAAAAUUAUGUUAGUUUCAAAGAUCAUCAACAUAAGAAGAACAAACUUGUUUUAUCGAAAUCCAGAACAAAGUAUCUCAAUCAGCAACUAAGUAAAUACACAAUCCACAUAUCUAAUUACAGUUCUAUAAAAGGAAUAAGAUAAUAAUUCACAGCAAAAACAUAUAAAAUCUUUUAGAUCAUGGAUGAAAUCUUGAAAUCGGAAACCAUAUAAAACAACAUAAAGAUGAAGAAAACUAAAGCAUAUAUUCACAAAAGCGAGGAUGAGUAGAACCAGCUAGAAGAUAGAGAAUUGAAACCGAAACCAUUGUACCAACGCGUUCAAAAUAACCUACUAAAGCAUAGGUUAAGAUUGGGAAUAAGAAAAUGAUAGGAGUAGCAAGAAGUGGCAGAGGACGCAAGAUCACAAUAACCAAAAGACAACAAUGACAUAGAGAGGACAAAGAUGACAUUCCUAUAGGCCUCUGAUAGUAUCACAAUUCGUACAAAUAGGCGCGCUUCUAUUCAUACAAUUUUGAUCCUACUAUAGGACACUUGCUCCAUAUUUCACAGGUUAACCUAAAGCUUUAAUACCACUUUGUCACGACUCAAAAUGAGCCAUGACCGGCGCUCAGUAGAAUAUUCUCAUAGCAAGUCUAACAUACUCGGUGCAUAUCAUUACUCUUGAAUUCUCACCUAGUCAAGUAUUUGUUCUUGAAAAAUAUUUAGAAAAAAUGGGAAGUUUUGCAUCUCAGUGAUUAGACAAUACAUCUAUAAUCAAUAUGAGACCAUAUAAACAUUAUUAUCAAAGUAAUUUUAAUUAGAAAAUAAUAGUUGAUAAUCAUAAGUGAAUCAAUAAGGAAUUUCUCAUACAGAAAUCAAAUCAAAAGUCCACACUUGGGCGGCUCCACCUCUAUGGGUAGCCCUUUCCUCUAGUGUGUCCGUACGGAAUAUGCCUCUAUAACUCGACGGCGGCGACGGCUUCCCUUUGCUUCGCCAGUGCCGUCAUCUGCUUCUCUUCUCCCCUCGAUGUCUUUCCCACUCCCUCUUCUUUAUUUCUUUCUUUUUCUUUUGUUCAGAUUUCAGAGUGUGUGUGUGAGUGAGUAAGUGUGUCCGAGUUUAAUUUUGGAAUUAGGGUUAGGAUUUGGUAAAAACAAUAAGUAUAGUAUAGGAAUUUUGAUAAAAUUAGAGGGUAGGAUAGCAAUUAAAAAAAUCAAAUAUAAAAUAUUUCAGAAAAAGCUUGGAAGAACGUUACACUUUUGGGAGAAAUUAGAAGAGUGAAUCCCUUCAUUCUCUUCUCCCUUCCUAUUUUCUAUAUAUAAAGUAUAAACAUUCAUCAUAUGCACACCGAUUUGCAAUGCAAUGAUUAUGUGGCAGCCAUGCUAGAUUGCAUUAUGAUAAAUGAAAUAAACAUGUAAAUAUGUGUUAUACAAUUCACUUAUUUUGGGAAAUUAGUGUAGAGGUGGUUGUCUUCCAUUUAUUAAUCCUUAGGAGGAAGCCAUAUCAGUAAAAGAGACAGAAAAUGAAGAAAAAUGUACUUAAAUUUUAAUUAGGGUUGAGGAUCAUUUAAAAUUGGGAUUAUUAUGCAUUAUGAUGCCACAAGUGAUAGAUUAUAAAGUAGAAACAACUUUUCCUUGUGAUUCUAAAGUUAUAUAUACUCAGCCGUCGGUGAAAUUCUUGAUUGAAUGAAAUUAUAUUAUCAGAUAAACAUGUCCUGUGAUAUAUUGUAAAUUAUUUUUGGCUAACCAAUGAAAAACUCUUCUGCAGAAGAUUGCAAAAUUUCAGGUGAAGCACAGAAGCCUCAAGCAACAUUAUCUUUACAACCAUCAAUUGCUGACCCUUGGAUUCACUCAGCCUAUGAUACAAAACUACAAAAUUCUCAAAAAAUAAAAGAAAUUCAUUCUUGGUAACUUAAUUAUUCAUGGAUACAUAAGUUUAAUUUCUUGUUCUUUCCUUUCUAGGUAUGUGCAGAAUAUCCUUACAUGGAUCAAUUUUAUGGACUCUUCUCAGCUUAUGCACCUCAAAUUUCGGUUUGUAUUUUAUCUCAAAUCUCAAAUCUCAAAUCUAUAUAUCUAUAUAUUAAUCAUAUCAGUGUUCUUGUAAUGCAUGUCUCUCCAUACAAGAAUCUAAAUUAUAGUUAUGAAUGUGGAAGGUAACACUAUUAACACAAAAAAAAUAACAUUGUAAAUGUAAAUCAGUAAUUUUUAAAAAUAUUUGUUACUUUAAAAAUUUUGCAUAUUAACAAUUCAGUGUAUCUGAAUACAAUUUGCAUCAAGAUACUCGCCGUUAACUACGAUUUUUUAAUACGAGCCUCUCAAACCAAAUCAAAACAUAUAGUUUCAAAUACAAUAAAUCUCUAAUCUUUCAAAUAUAUAGGGUAUCAAAUCAAAUCGAAUUAGAUAAUACUUUUUCAUAAGAAAUUUUUUUAAUCAUAUUUUUUCAAUCAUAAAAACAUAUUUCACAAUUUCGAAGUACAUGAAUGACAAUAAAUACUUCAAUACUUCAAACGUAUAUAUUCGAAUAAAAUCAAAUAUGAUAAAAUAAUAUAAAAUUUUAUCCAACAUAUAUAUAGUCUCAUGUAAAAUUUCUAAGGUAUGAGAUUUAUAAAAAUAAUUAUUCAACUAUAAUAAAUCAAUCACUCUAAUCAGAUCAAAGUUUUUUUAACAGUAGUUUUUUUAAACAUAAUUAGAAACUCAAAAUAGUAUAAACCAAACACUUACCUAUUAUAAAUAUAAAUCCUACUCACAACGUGUUCUUAAGAGAUCAAAAGACCAAAUUCGAAGUGUCAAAUUAAAAGGUAAAAAUGGUUAACAUAGAAUGAACCGAAAGAACACAAAAUUUAGAAUAGCAACAACAAUUCUCAGUUUUUAACUGUAGCAACAUCAACAACAUCCCUAGUAGCAACAUGGGAAAAGCACGGUAAUAAUAGCAGCAAAUCCAACCGUUUAUGAUGAUUUAAAACUGAGCAAAGACAGAAAGAGAAAUCAAGUAGGAUAGGACACAGUUAAUAGUGGAGCUUUAUGGUAAGACAAGGCAAAACAAGCUUAGUCUUAUGGUCUUACCAAAGGAAACAAGGGAUGGAGCAUUAGCAGCUCCGGUGACCCUGUCCAGCGUCAACGGUGAAGGACACGGCAGAAUAACGAUGGCGGCGGUUCCUCUCCUUUGGCAGUGACUCCCGCAGCAGCACUACAAGCUCUGACAAACAGGGAGACGCAGGGGUCAACCGCAGUGAAGCAGAGUAGAGGCGGAGGUAGCUUCGAGUUGCACCAGCGGUGAGCUUCGGCGACGGCAAUGUCUCCUUCCGACGCGGCCCCUUCGACGGCGACGACCGUAACUCCAGCGACGAGUCCCAGCAGCGACGAUAGUGGUGCUGCCUUCUCUCUAUCCAUCUCUCUCCUUGUUCAUCUCUCUCUCUCUCUCUGCCUCUAUAACUCGACGGCGGCGACGGCUUCCCUUUGCUUCGCCAGUGCCGUCAUCUGGAAGAAAAUAAUAACUUAUCUUUAACGCUGGAACAACAUUUAUUCUGUCAUUGGAGAGUUCCCAGAUUUCACUCUUCAGUAAAUGAUUCCAAUUUCUGAUAUCAGAAUUUCCACGCAAUAAGCCUCCAAGGGCUUGAGCUGCCAAGGGCAAUCCAUCACACUUCUUUACGAUAUCUCUGCCGAUUUUUUCCAGGGUUGGAUUAUCCACGGAAACAGUUGACAGACGUGCAUGCUUUGUAAACACCAACCAACAAUCUUCAUCGGACAAUGAUCUUAAUUCAUGAGGUGAAACAGUCUGCACUAAAGAAGCUACAUUUUUGUUUCUAGUGGUUAUUAGAAUUUUACUUCCCUUAACCCCUUUUUGAAAAGGUUUUAGAAGCUUAUCCCAAUCACUAUAAUUUUCAUUCCAUACGUCGUCCAAGACAAUGAAGAACUUUUGCCUCGACAACUUUUCCUUUAAAUCAAGCUGAAGUAAAUUCAAAUCUGUCAAAUUACAAGAACUUGAAGUUAUUACCUCGAUUAUAGUCUUGGUGACCUUGACAAUAUCAAACUCUUCUGACACACAAACCCAUCCUCGUAAAUCAAAAUUCUCCUUCACUUGGUCAUCGUGGUAAAGCAAUUGGGCCAAAGUAGUCUUUCCUAUGCCGCCCAUGCCCACAAUGGGAAUGACAGAUAAAUCACCAUCAGCAGCAUCAUCAUCAUCCAACAACAGUUUGAGUAUGGCCUCCUUGUCUUCUUUCCUGCCACAUAUCUCCGAUGGUUCAACAAGACAUGUGGAUGGAAUUCUCCAUGACAUGUCCACCUUGGCACUCUCCUUCAGACGAAGAUAAUUCUUGCGUGCUACAACAGACUCUAGUCUUCGAACUAUGUUUUCGAUGUCACCAGUAUCUUCUAUAUAUGAAUCAACAAGGCAAGACCAGGAGGAAGAGUUACUUGGAUCCCUUUGAGCGGCAGCAAUAGCGGCUUUAGUGGAGAGUUCGUCGAGCAAGUCAUCAGCCAUAAAGAGAGCAUCUUGAAGAUCAACAAGCCACUUCUUCACUUUCUUGUCACUGAACUGCUUCAGCUCAGCAUCAUCAAGAACAGGUGCAACAUCAUACAGACAAUUCUGCAACCUUCCAAGCAAGUUGUUCCUUUCGAGGAAAGAGUCGUAUUCUUCAAGUAUUGAAGUCAGGUUGUCCAAAACAGCAUCAACAAAGGGAGAGAGGUAAGCUCCACCAUAAAGUUUUUCAGCCAUGGUUGAAUCUCAAGUGAAGUAGAUCAGAUGGGAUCAGAACAAAGAAAGAAAGUCAACGGAUGAGGGAAGUGUUUGCUUUGUGUGGUAGGUGAAGUUGAUUUGACGAGGUUUAUGGUCUUCGGACUAAAUGAUGGGAUGGUGUUAUGGAAGAUAAACAAUUGGUUAAUGUAUUGGUUAAAAAAGGUAUGUAACUCUCCAUGAAUUAUGAUACUUUAUGCUGCCUUCCCAUGGCUUCUUAUUUUUUUAUUGGACAAACUUUGUUGUUAUAUUAAUUUAGUAAUUUAAGAACAAGCUGUAACGCAUUACCAAUUUGUAAACUAAAAACUAGCUGUGGUUGCUCUUUAUCAAACUCACUCAAUUUUAUUUAGCUUUUUCAAUUUUUAUUAUCUCCAAGGAAUUUAUAUGAUAGAAUUUCUCUUCAUGUAUUCUUUCUCUUUUUGUCAACAGAUUUAAAAGACUAUAUCAAAUAUCAAUUACUCUACUGUAUUAUUAGAAAGGGACAGAGCAAUAAUGACUUUCAAAUAUGCAUGUAGAUAGUAUUUUUGGUAAUUAAAAUGAUUGCUAACUAAUACUAUUUUAUUGUCUUAACUCUUAAACCUUAUUUGUUACUUAUUUGUCACUUUUUCUUUUAUGUAAAUUAUGGUUAGACAAAGCGUUUUAUUAUUUAUAUGUAAAUUAUUUUAUUUUAGGAAGAUUUACAUAAAAGAAAAGAAAGACAUAUAUAACCCGUUUUCCUUUAGCUGACAAAAAUAUACUCAGACCAGAACUGAGCUUGGUGGAGGCGAAGAAAUGAUGGAGAAGAGUGGGGAUGUGAGUAGAAGAAGCAGAGAGAAAGAGAGAGAAGCAGAGGGAGUAUGAAGACAGAGCCUUUUGGGAGAAAUUAGAAGAGUGAAACCCUUCAUUCUCUUCUCCCUUCACAUUUUCUAUAUAUAAACAUUCAUCAUAUGCACAGCCAAUGGUUAUGUGGCAGCAUAUGUUGAUUGCUCUUGAUAAGGUUUUGAACUAGUCCAAUUUGUUGAUAGGCACCAAACAGUAUCCCAUUAACUAAGCAAAAAUAAAUUUAUCUGCAAAACUUUAGUUCAGGUGUCUGAAAUUUAUUAUCAAAUGGUAAAUUAUAUUUUUUCCAUUAAUUAAUUUGGAUGUCACGACUCAUGCAAUCAAUUUUUCUUAGAACAAUAAGAAGGACUGUAAUACAAUAUGAAAAUGGUGAAUAUUAUGAUGGCAAUGAAGGUGCAUUUCCUGUUCCUGGUAUUCUUGCAAGCUGGAGCUGCUGGACCAAAACAGCCAUGUCCAAGAACACUUGAUGAAUCUUAUUGAGACUCCUCUCUAUAUUAAUCACUGUGUUAUGCCUCUCUUCAAUCUCUUGGAUUGUGUCCAUGAUUGUUGUUCUCCCUUGUUUCUCAAUUUCUUUCUGCAACAAAGUUUAACCUUCCCAGUUCCCACCACAUAUAAGUUAUCAUAUUGUUUCUAUUCCAACAUUAUAAUAACUAAAUAAUGAAACAAUUUUCAUUCGAGCUUCCGAAUAAUGAUUACAUAGACCAACUUGCUUCUUCCACUAAUAAGCGACAACAAUUCUUGGAUAAACAAUUUACCAUCUUUCCAGGUACUUGUUAUUUUUUAUUUAUAAUAUUAUUGUUCUUUACAAUCUUUGUAUAUCAAUUAGUAAUUUAUAUGAAUUGUUAAAGUUAAUAAGAUAUAGUUUUGAUUAGUAAUUGACGAUUUCAUAUAUACAAGUGCUAGUUAUGCUUCAUAUUUUUGGCACAAAAAAAUUGGGAGAUAGAUAUAAUAAUCAUGUUAGAUUGCAUUAUGAUAAAUUAAAUAAACAUGUAAAUAUGUGUUAUACAAUUCACUUAUUUUGGGGAAUUAGUGUAGAGGUGGUUGUCUUCCAUUUAUUAAUCCUUAGGAGGAAGCCAUAUCAGUGAAAGAGACCGAGAAUGAAGAAAAAUGUACUUAAAUCUUAAUUAGGAUUUAGGAUAAUUUAAAAUUGGGAUUAUUAUGCAUUAUUCUACCACAAGUGAUAGAUUAUAAAGUAGAAACAACUUUUCCUUGUGAUUCUAAAGUUAUAUAUUCUCAAGCCAUACUAGAUUGUUGAUGGAAGGAAAUUAUAUCAUCAGAUAAAACGCCCUAUGUUAUUGUAAAUUAUCUUUAGCAGCUAACCAAUGAAAAACUCUUCUGCAGAAGAUUGCAAAAUUUCAGGUGAAGCACAGAAGCCUCAAGCAACAUUAUCUUUGCAGCCAUCAAUUGCUGACCCUCGGAACCCUUUUGAGCUUGGAUUCACUCAGCCUAUGAUACAAAACUACAAAAUUCUCAAAAACUAAAAGAAAUUCGUUCUUGGUAACUUAAUUAUUCAUGGAAACAUAAGUUUCAUUUCUUGUUCUUUCCUUUCUAGGUAUGUGCAGAAUAUCCUUACAUGGAUCAAUUUUAUGGACUCUUCUCAGCUUAUGCACCUCAAAUUUGGUUUGUAUUUUAUCUCAAAUCUCAAAUCUAUAUAUCUAUAUAUAAAUCAUAUCAGUGUUCUUGUAAUGCAUGUCUCUACAUACAAGAAUCUAAAUUAUAGUUAUGAAUGUGGAAGGUAACAAUAUUAACACAAAAGUAAUAACAUUGUAAAUGUAAAUCAGUAAAUGACGGAAACUUUUCGCUUGAUAUUAAAUUAUAGUAUAAGUUGCAAGUACAUCUUCUAAAAUUAAGUCUGUUGUUGUAGUGCGUGUAUGUAUAGAUAUACGUAUCUUCCAGUAUUUAACAAUGGAUCUAUGCAUGUAUGUAACAUAUUUGAAUAAAGCAGGGGCUUAUGAUGCUGCCACUAAACAAGACAUCAGAUGAUGGACCAACUUACGUGAAUGCUAAGCAAUACCAUGGAAUCAUAAGGCGUAGGCAGUCAUGUGCUAAAGCUGUUCUUGCCAAUAAACUCAUAAAACGUUGCAAGCUUUGAGCAUUCAUCAAAUAAAACAAUUCAAUUAAUAAGCCAAUUUAAGCCGAGAAUGCAAAACUUUCUGUAUUAGAAAAAUAGCUGCAGUUUCUUAAACUGGAUUAGUUGAAUUUUUUAGUAAUAGAGUUAUGUUAUAAGUUGUUUGUGUUGCAGCCAUAUAUGCAUGAAUUGCGCCAUCUCCAACAAUGGAAAUGGCAAGAGUGGAAGUGAAGCAAACAAAAAAGGACUUGGCCAUCAACUACAUUCGAGUGGUUCUCAGAAUUCUGAAGUCCUACAAUCCUCGGCCGGAACCUUGAAUUCGUUAAAGGAAAUAAAUGGAAGCAGUCCAAACAUUUCAUCAGAGGUGACAAGCAUGUACUCAUCAAGAGGAGGAAUUGAUGGAUUUGCCAUCAAUCAUAUUGGAACUCCUAUGCACUCCUUUGCAGAUAUGAUGGACACUGGACAUGGACAUGGCAUGAUCAUGCCCCCGAAGAAAUGGGUUUCGGCUGAGGCCGGAAACUGCUGCAACCUUAAUGUUUGAUCUGGCAAGGAUAUUAAGCGAGUUUUGGUGUAGCAUUGCACCAAAAUCCUCGUAUCCUUGUCAGGCCAGAUGGAAAAUGCUAUUUUCCUUUCUGGUGCUCAGGCAACUCAUCCUUGGCUCAGUUAUAUCAAUUUUAAAAAUAUUUGUUACUUUAAAAAUUUUGCAUAUUAACAAUUCAGUGUAUCUGAAUACAAUUUGCAACAAGAUACAAUGAGUUAUUAAUAUAUAAAACUUCUAAAGUUACAGAUUUUUUAAAGUAGAUGGAGUAUAUAGUUAUAAUAUUAAAAUAUAAAUAGUUGUCUUUUUGCAGAGGCUUGAUAUUCUGAAGCAGAAAGACUAAUGAAUUAUGAUGUCUGUGUAUUGUGUUUAAAUAACGGCAUGAAUUUGUAGCAUUUUUAUGUGUGUGCUUUUUAUUAUCAUGUCUAGUUUUGGUGUUCUAUUUAUGAAUUUUUGACUUUGUCAAGUAAUGUAUAAAGUCUUCUUUGUUAGAAAUAAAAAUAAGAUAUUUGACAAAUGCAUAUUACAACAACUGGUUUCUUCUCCGUUGCUACUUUAGUUAUACUUUCUGCAUAAUUAACAAAAACACUUUGUCGAUGGAUAAUCUGUAUGAGAAGGUACAAGUGUAAAGUAAGGAAUGGAACAGCACAUGUAUAAGAAUGAUAAAAAAUGAAGAAUAAGAAUAUUGUAGAGAGAAUGAAGAAUGAAAAUUCGUAAGUCACUUUAUAUGCAGAGUAUAAAGCAUGAUGAAAAACAUAAAUAUAUUGAGGGAAUAAGAAUAAUGUUGUGUAUGUAUGUGUUGAAGUUGUUGGAUUACCAAAUCCAUCUGUAAUCAACUUGAAUGGCGGGGAUGUGGGAGAUUUUGGGCCAAAGCUGUGGAUCCUUCUUCUGACAUUGUUUGGCCAGCAAAGGGCUUCCUAAGAUGAUGAGUUGUAUUAGAGAGGCAGGCAGCUUUUCUCCCUCCAUAUUCUCCAACUUGGGACAUCCCAGAAUAGUUAAACUUUGGAGGGAGGUGAGGUGGGCAAGUCCCUUGCAUUCCAACGUCUCCACACUUUCAAUGACAAACAGUGUGAGAGACUCAAGCGAGGCAGGCAACCAACCUUUCUUUGGGAGCGACUUCACACUCUUGCCGUAUUCACCAUGAAUGGAAAGAUGAGUAAGCCCAUGAAAUUGCGAAUUCAUGAAUGCUGCAGAGCUCACCAGUUUCUCGCUGUAGCUGAUUUCAAGAGAUCUGAGGCUACGGUGUGGAUCCCCAUCCCCUGUAGGAGACAAAUCAACCUCUGGGCAACCCAGUAAUGUGAGAACCUCUAGCUGAGGUGCUGCCAUCCAUAGCGUUGACACAGAUUUCAAACUCCCACAAUGCGUGAUUCUUAAAUCGCGGAGAGAUGAAAGAGAGCGUGACACCACAAUACACUCCAUGUUUCCACAGUAGCUGAUAUCAACACGCACGAGAUUUGGAAAGGAAUCCAACAACGAAAAGGAUGUAACUGAAUCACAGCUGUUCUGUAUUGAUAGUUCGUGCAGCGAGUGAUGUUGCCCAUCCAUUUCAAAUUCUAAUUCUCUGCAAUAGAAUAUCGUCAAGUUCUGUAGUGAUGGGGGAAUAGCACUCACUGGAAACCAUAUGUGGGAGGAACAAUCUGCAAUGUAUAAAGACGUCAGGCAAUUCAGUUGCAUGUGCUUUAUGGCCUCUACCGCCGACUCCACGUGAUGGUUUCCUGCAAUUGAUAGCUCACGCAGUAAAGGAGGUAGCUCCCCAACUCUCACUUCAUUCCUGCCUUCUAUCCUUAAAGAGGUCAUGGCAGGAGAUGUUGGAACACACCAACUCAGCUGCUUGCAAUUAGUAAUCUCAAGUGAUUGCAAAGAUGGUAGAUGAUUGGGCAAAUCUCUUCUCAACAUGGGGACAGCUAUUUAUUGAAAGCUCCCGGAGUCUCGGAAACGCAUUGAACUCCAGUGAACGCCACUCCUUCCAGCAAGGCAUUGAAUAAAACGAAAGAGUUUCAAGCAUUGGGAAUGGUGGUGUCUCCAAACAAGAUUCACCAUUCUGGUUAAAGUAAAACUCAGCACCCACACUUUCCAGACUUUUAAAAUGUGAAAUUGAUAGGUGCUUCAACGACGGCAAUUGUCCAAGUGAAGGAAGCAUACAACAAUUCCGACAACAACCCAAAAAGGAAUCACCCAGUGUUAUUUUGGUGAUGUUGUAAUAGGAAGAAUGUCCCAACCAAUCUGGAAAUGUUGUACCCCUGUAACCAUAGAUAUAUAACUCUUUCAAAUUAGUGUGAGGUCGUAACUUGUCAAGUAUAUCUCUUUCCAUUUCGGAAUCAACUGUAUUCUCCUCUUCAUUCCACGACCAAGUUAACUUUAUAGAUUCAAUGCCAUCCUUAUCGGACAUUCUUGCCUCCAAAGCUUCACUGCUGUUCACCACAUUCUCCAAUUUGCCAAUGGAAAUUGAUUCGUGUAGAUUUGCAAGUGCUCCCAAUUCUGUGAUCUUGUUCUCUUCACGCUUCCCAACAACAUAGUCGCUUAAAAACUGCAAGUUUUUCAACUUGCUCAUGCCUUUCGGCAUCUCAUGCAAUGACCGAGUCCCUCUAAUAUCAAGAUGGCGCAAAUUUACAAGGUCUUCCAUGCGAACAGGUAGCAUUUUCAGAUUAUAGCAGGAAUACAACUUCAAGGUCUGCAAGUUGUACAGGUUACCCAACGACUCUGGCAAUGUCACAAUGUUGGUGAAAGAGAGAUCCAAGUAACGCAAGUGAAUCAACUCACCUAUUGAAACAGGCACUGACAGAAGAGGAAAGUUUUUCAACGACAAAGCCCUCAUGUACUUUAACUGUGACAACAAAAUACAAGGUGCAUUUUCCAUGUUAAAUGGG
rnacentral:lncRNA from 1 species